UACGGAGGGAGCUAGCGUUGUUCGGAAUUACUGGGCGUAAAGCGCACGUAGGCGGCUACUCAAGUCGGGGGUGAAGGCCCGGGGCUCAACCCCGGACUGCCCUCGAAACUAGGUGGCUAGAAUCUUGGAGAGGUCAGUGGAAUUCCCGAGUGUAGAGGUGAAAUUCGUAGAUAUUCGGAAGAACACCAGUGGCGAAGGCGACUGACUGGACAAGUAUUGACGCUGAGGUGCGAAAGCGUGGGGAGCAAAACAGG
rnacentral:rRNA from 1 species